rnacentral:lncRNA from 1 species
GUCUGUUGCUUAUAAAUAUAAUUUAUUACCUGUUUAAAAAUUCUUUCUUACACUUUGUACAUGUCAGGCUGACAGAAAUAAAUGCAGGCAAUUUACAAAUAGAAGAGGUCAACUGAGGGAAGUUUUGGAGAUGAAGGAGGGCAAAAAGGGAGAAAGGGGAAUCCAGAGAGAGAGAGGCACACCCAGAACUAGUAAACCACAUCUCCACUGUACAGCAGUACAAAGAAUGCAAUGCCUAGAGAGCACUUCUCUGUUAGGAAUUCUUUAUAAAAGGAAUUGCAUAGAAGAUACAGCAAUAGGAAAAUCCAUCACAACAAAAGAAAUGUUCCAUAUUUGAAAAGCCAAGGUAAAAGGAAGAAAAUAACAUCAAAAUACAACCAAAUGAAAAUGAAACCCAACCCCCUGAAGAUAUAUUUCUGAGAUUUAACUAUGCCAUGUGAGCUUUAAGAUACACUUUUCCACCAGUACAACCUUCAAUAGACAUUUUCUUUGCAAGUGUCAGUUGUCAAGGGGAGGGUCACCAGCUAACAGUUAGGUCCAUUUAAAACUCAAUGAAUACAUAUAAUGCUCUGUGGCAUCAAACACAAACUCAGAAGGACAGUGGUCCUUGCUCUAUGGUGAUGUGCAUUCUUUCACGUGGGUGAAGGAUUUAUCCAGAAAUACUCAGUCUGAGAGAAGAAACAAGGGGAGAAUGCAAGUCAUAUUUUCACUCUGUAUAACCAUUUCAUUUCUUUUUCAGGAUGAUAUGAUGUGAGAAUGCAUUAAGGUUAAUUCCCACACUGCCACAUGGGUUGGAUGCUAAGGAAAUUUUUGUUGGAUUGAGUGGAAUGAUGACUUGAUUUCUGUCAUGUUAGCCAUAAGUAGAAUUGAAAAGCUCAAAUAUGUUUUUGUUGUUUUUAAGUCAUUCUCAUUCUCUUGCCAUUGCUUAUUAUUUUUAAGCAUUUCCAUUGCUAAAUUCACUUCACCUCUCUAGUAGUCUCCUCAUCUGCAAAAUGAGAGAUUUGAGCUAGGUUAGAUCUAAGGCUCCUUCCAGUUCUGAUGAUGUUAUGAUUUAGAAAUAGACACUUUUUUCAAAUUAUAGCUCAGUAGUGUUGAUCAGAUUCAAAACUCAGCCAGAGAUCCCAGAUAAACAAGAUGCUAACUCUGAAGAAUUUCAAAGAAAUAGAAAUUUUUUGGUUCAGUCCUGAUUUCCUGCUCUAUUCCUGCUGAUCACUGAAGCUUCCUAAUAGCAUUAUCUGAAUGGAUCAAUCAUUCUUCAGGGUCAAUUAUCACUUUGUGAACUGAUAAUGUUUCAUGGGCAGAUACAUUUGGGGAAUUAUUUGCAAAGAUAUCUGAGCUCACUUGAAACAGAGAAAAAAUCCUGAAAUACAAAUUGAUCUGGUUCAGUGAACACAAUAUUCUUGCCACAAAUCAAAAGGAUUUGGAAGGACACCAAUUAAGAUAUGGUAUCUAUCUUUGUCUCUUAAGAAUCUGAUGAGUAUGCUAAAAGGAUUUUAACCUUGAUAGGCUAGAAAUACAAGCAAAGGAAAAAAGAAGAGUCUGGCAGUUAUCUGGUAAAUUUAGGCUAUAAAGAUAGCUCAUAUAGAAAAUAUUUGAGUUCAUAUUCCCUCUAUUCUAGAGUUUAGAAUUUUAUAAAUACUGACCUCCACUUUGCUUGUGUAAACAUAGUCUUAAAUUAAUUUUGGUAACAUGAUUAUACCUUUCUCCUCAUCUAAACCCUCUGUGAUUUCUUAUCUUAUUAGGUUGUUAUUCUUUAGCACCAGAGGAAAAAUGGAAUUUUAUUCUAUGGACUACUAUCACAGAAGCUUCUCUCCAAAGAGAAACUGUAACCUUUUAAAUCAUAUAUUCUGAGGAAUAGUAUCCCCAACUAUACAGUGAUGUAAAUUUUUCAAAGUAC